rnacentral:rRNA from 1 species
UACGUAGGGUGCAAGCGUUAAUCGGAAUUACUGGGCGUAAAGCGUGCGCAGGCGGUUAUGUAAGACAGAUGUGAAAUCCCCGGGCUCAACCUGGGAACUGCAUUUGUGACUGCAUAGCUAGAGUGCGGUAGAGGGGGAUGGAAUUCCGCGUGUAGCAGUGAAAUGCGUAGAUAUGCGGAGGAACACCGAUGGCGAAGGCAAUCCCCUGGACCUGUACUGACGCUCAUGCACGAAAGCGUGGGGAGCAAACAGG